rnacentral:rRNA from 1 species
AAUGAACGCUGGCGGCAGGCCUAACACAUGCAAGUCGAACGAGGGGCGGACGGGCGUGAAAUGUCUGGGAAAUUGCCUGAUGGCGGGGUAAAACUACUGGAAACGGGAGCAAAUACCGUAAACCAGCAGAUGAGCCCUGAGGGUACUAGGUAGUUGGUGGGGUAACGGCUCACCAAGGCGAAGAUCACUAGCUGGUCUGAGAGGGUGACCGGCCACACUUGAACUGCGACACGGUCCAGACUCCUACGGGAGGCAGCAGUGGGGAAUAUUGCACAAUGGGCGCAAGCCUGAUGGAGCCAUGCCGCGUGUAUGAAGAAGGCCUUCGGAUUGUAAAGUACUGUCAGCGGGGAGGCGUUACCCGCAGAAGAAGCCCCGGCUAACUCCGUGCCAGCAGCCGCGGUAAUAC